rnacentral:rRNA from 1 species
AUUGAACGCUGGCGGCAGGCCCAACACAUGCAAGUCGAGCGGAUGAAGGGAGCUUGCUCCUGGAUUCAGCGGCGGACGGGUGAGUAAUGCCUAGGAAUCUGCCUGGUAGUGGGGGAUAACGUCCGGAAACGGGCGCUAAUACCGCAUACGUCCUGAGGGAGAAAGUGGGGGAUCUUCGGACCUCACGCUAUCAGAUGAGCCUAGGUCGGAUUAGCUAGUUGGUGGGGUAAAGGCCUACCAAGGCGACGAUCCGUAACUGGUCUGAGAGGAUGAUCAGUCACACUGGAACUGGGACACGGUCCAGACUCCUACGGGAGGCAGCAGUGGGGAAUAUUGGACAAUGGGCGAAAGCCUGAUCCAGCCAUGCCGCGUGUGUGAAGAAGGUCUUCGGAUUGUAAAGCACUUUAAGUUGGGAGGAAGGGCAGUAAGUUAAUACCUUGCUGUUUUGACGUUACCAACAGAAUAAGCACCGGCUAACUUCGUG